GGGGGGGGGGGGGGGGAUGGAAAUCAAAAUGUGUGAGGGAUGAUAGGAUGACAUGGUGUCAGAGUGAGAAUUAUAAAUGAGAGAGGGCUAUGACAAGGAAAAGAGAAAGAAAAAUAAUCUGAGUGUUUAAGGAAGAUUGUUAAUUUUUAAAUGGUAUUAAUAAUGUCAUGAAUGUAUUGUACAAUGAUCUGAAAAAUAUUUCUGCAGUAAGCUUUAUUUUGCAUUCAAAUAACUAUUUAAUGUAUUUGAUCACUCUUUAUUUUUUGUUACAGGUACAUUGUAUUUGUUUUGUUAACCAUCACAUUAUUAUUGUUUACUUUUCAUAAUUUAUGACGAAUCAAGUACAUUGUAUAUGAAUAUUUCCUAUAUAUUACUGUUAUUCAUUUUUUCCCCUGACUUUUUCAGGAAUAUUAAAUUAUAUUUCUAAUUAACAAACAAAGAAGCUAAUACAUUAGUCCUGAUUUAUAGUAAUGUAAUUUCAAAUUCUAAUUCAUAUCUGAAGAUAUUUUUUUAAAUCAUAUCACAGCCCUUCCUUUUAUUUAUUUCUUUGUUAUUAUUUAAAAAAUGAUCAUAUUUAAACGUCUAAAAGGUCUUUUCUAAAUAGUAAUUUUUUGCACUAAAAGUGUUUGUUUUUAUGGUAAAAAAAGUUGGGUUUUUUUCUAGAAUUUUUUAUCUGUUUGAUUUAUUUCCAUGACAAAGAUUUACCUUUGCCUUUUCAAUAGAUAUCAAUAAUGCAUUUAGUUCGAAUAUUUAGUUGUUAUUCAAAUUUUAAAAAAUUGGCACAAGUCAUUAUAUUUCUUCUGCUUCACAAAGCAUGCAACGAGGGAAUAUACAAAAAUUUUAAUUGUAUUAUAUACAGAAAUAUUUAAAAUUUUAAGAGUAUUGAUAUAUUUUCAACCUUAUCAUUCUUAGGUAAAAUGAAAUGGAAAAUUCUGCAAUUUAAAGGUAAAAUUGUAAUUAAACUACAAUGACAAAAUCAGUGUAAAAAUACUGGAAAAAUUAGAAAUUAAACUUUUGUCUACUCAAUUCCAUUUUUUUAUUCUAAUUGAUAUAAGUAGAAAUUGUAUUGGUUUGGACUAAAUAAUCACCUUUAUCAAAUUUGAGAGAGUUUUCUUGUUUCAUAAAGACAUCACCAGUUACUUUAAAUACUGUAUUGAUAACCCAUGCACAUGGUGCAUCUUAUAAUUUUUAUCUUUGGACAUAAAAGAAAGUUCAGUCUCAAUCUGAAUUUUCCAUUAUAAUGUAAGUUUUUUAGUUUGUUUUUUUACAGACAUUCCAUGAUGAAGAACAGCAUUUGAUUCCAUGAACUGAACUGUUAUUAUGUGGUUUGACCAUAUUCAUUGCUUAAUUGGUGUUGCUUUUGUAAAAUUUGUCUUUGUACACAUGAAUUAGCUUCAAGAUUGAUAGAUGGUCAGCAAACUAAUGUAAAGCAAAAAUAAACUUGCAUUAGUCUGUUUCUACCUAUUAUUAAAAGCCAAGUACACAUUUCCUAUUUUAUGUCUGACAACUUUCAGCGAACUCACAUGUAUACAACAAUCAAGACCACACUACUGUUUAGUGGAAAUAGUUGAAAACCCACCUUUAAAUGUUAAUAUUUUUUGUAACCUUUUAUAUAUUACAAAUGCCAAAAAACAUGGCUUUAAAUACUAAAUAAGUGCUAAAAUAGUCUUAUGAUCCUUAGAGACUGAGAUGUUGAAAAGUGAUAUAUAUCAAUUUGUAGAUUUUUAUCUAGUAGUUAUAUUCCAAUUGUGUUGAUGAAACACUACAGUACAAUCUGCAUCUCUAUAUAGUUUCCCUUGAAGGAAUGUUGUAAAGUGUUAGAUUUUCCUACAAAAUUGGUUUUAGUGAACAAAAAUUAACAUUUCAUGUAUGUUUCAUAAGAAUACGUAGUUUGAUUGGCUGAUAACAAUUGUGAGGCAUUCCAUAAACAAAUUGUAUUUUUCAAAUGAAAUGCAACGUUCAUGACUGCAUGUGAUUCCCAUGACAACAUCGCUAUAAUGCAUAGGAAAGCAAACCAAAAGCUUGAUAUAACUUGUAAUUUCUGAGUUGUAGCAUAUAAAUGCAAUUAUAAAAAUUGAAUGCUUCUUUUUGUAAUUUUAUAGGGUUGUAGUAGCAUUGAUUGUGGCUACAUUUAUAGUAUGAAGUGCUUCCACACUUCAUACAAAAUGUGCUUCAGUCAAUGCUUUUAUACCCCAAUAAAGUAACAAAAAGAAGCAUUCAAUUAUUUAGAUAAGUUUUAAUUCCCAGUUUUAUAGACUGUUGGUUAUUUUGUCUCAUUAUACAGGACUGUAGAGUAAGUUAAGAGGCCUGUUAAGACUGUGAUAUAUUUAUCUUGCCUUUUUAUUGUAUAUACGAUCCAGUAUGUAGAUCAUAGUAGAUAAUAUCUGUAGAUAUGAUGUGAUCAAAGUUAUUUUUUCAAUUGAAAGUUGAUAAGUAUGUCACAGUAAUUAAUUUGUGUAAAUUGGUCAACUGAUAAAAAGCACCAUUCUGACAAAAAUAUUAGCAACACAUAUGUCACUGGUUAGGUUCAGAAUACGCAUUGACAUUUAAUGUUAGUAGAUUUCUUAAAAUUAUUGUUUAAUAUAUUGUAGAGAACAUUCCAUUUGAUUUAAUUAUAUAUUGAACGACCAAUAUAUAUAUGCUUGAUCAUGUACCUACGAGAUAUUUUCAUUCAAUGUAAACCAGGAAAAUCAUACUUAAUUUGGCUCAUGAAUGCAUUUAGCAUUAGAGCAUUUUGUUAUUUCAAUCGACAUGUUAUCAAACAGAUGAAAGGAUGAAAAAGAUUUUUUAAAUUUGCAAGCAGAACUUUUUUUGGAAAAGAUAUACAUUUAUAAGCUAGUAUCCCACCAUCUUUGUUGUUCUUGUCAUUAUCAUCACAUUAACAUAAUACCCACAAUUCAUUUCACUAAACAAAUCAUGGGGAUCGUCAUUUCUUAUUAUGGGAGAUAGGCAUUAAAAGUUCAGAUAUUAGAAAAAAGGAUAAAAAUUACACAUCUUCCAAAUAAGACUGACAUUUAAAUUAUUGUAUAUAACUUCGAAUUCUGAUUGAUAAAUGUUUUCAAAAAAUCAAAAUACAAUGAUGUAGAUCUUUUCCAUUUUGUGUCAUCAAUUUUUUGUAUUUUAAAAUGAACUUUUUUUUAAAUGCAUUGCUAGUUAUUAGACAUGAUAGAGCAAAAAUUGUAUCUGGCAAGUUUAAAGCUGAUUUAUAUUACUUUUUGUCUUGUCUCAGUAAAGUUUAAAAAGCAAUACUUAGCGUGCUGUUUCCGGCAGUGCCUGCUGCUGCAUCAACAAUGUAAUAGUAUGAGAUCAGGUCAGUUUAGGGGGACCACUAAUUGAGAUCAGUGAUAUUUGGUAUGCAGAUGUAUUAACAUUGGCACAUCUCAUUUCCAUGGAGAUUAUAUGACCCUGCCCCUCACCAUAGUUAAUUGAAGUUGAAACUUUUGCAUAGUUUACAGGGAACCACUUAUGAUAAGUCAAUGGUUUUUGGUAUGCAAUUAUCAGUAUUAACAUUUCUCAUAUCCACAGAGGUUGUUUAGCCUUGCAUAGUUUAUAUGUUCACGUAUUGCUGUUUAAAUUUUAACAAUUGCAUUAUACUUUCAAAAUUACAUAAUGGUGAGAUAUAUCUCUGUGUCAACAGUUUAUUCUAAUUCUUAGCCCGAUUCAUACUUUUCUCUACCAGUUCAAUAUUGCUUUUAUUGUUUGGAUCACUUUAUCUGAGGGCUGUUACUGAAUUAAACUAAUGGGAACAUUGGGAAGAACUUUUUUUAAAUCCCAUAAACCCAUAAUAUAAAAUUUUCAUUUUACUAAAAUCUUUCAAAAUUCUAUAAAUGAAAAUGCAACUAUCCACAAUAAUUAAUGUAAGUGCCUCCAAUCCUCCCACCAUCGCUAUCAAUUUUGGAAUAGCCCUCAGCUUUUUAUUGGUCAGAAUUUAAUCAUUUAAAUAUAAUAAUGAAGCCAUAUUUUCGUCAGAUUUAAAGAACACAAUUUUUUGGAUAUCAUUUAAAGGGAAAUAGAAAGUUUGCCUUCACAUUGUCAAGAUAUCAUUUGAGAAACAGAUUCAACCACUGUAUCAUGUGCAAUAAUUGAUUUCUCCAUUAAUGACAAUUAAGUUUUAAUAUUUUAAAUCCUAGGUAAGCCUCAUGUUUUAGAAAUUCAACUGUCUCAAGAUGAGAAAUAUUGUAUAACACAUGAAGCAGUGGUAGAACUAAGUAUAUGUAAUUUAUCAAACAUUGACUGAUUUACUACCAUAUUUCUUAGUGAAUGAUUUUCGUGUUUGUUAAGGAUAAAAAAUAUCAUUGAAGAGAUAUGAAAGAUGUUAGCGCUUGUGUUUUGAGAUAGUGAUAUUUUUAUUGUAUGUAUGUGAUAUUAACUGUUAUUUGUUUUAUAGAGACGUUAUUAUGAUACUGUCUGUUAUUUAAGCAUUUGUUAAAUCUUGUCAUGAUGUGCAAUAAAUGACUUUGAAAUGGU